AACUAAGUUUGUUCUUGGUAUAAGCUUUUGUGUGCAUGUACACUUCUUCAGAAACAUUCGUGUUCAUGCACACGAAAGCUUAUACACUUUUUCAGAUACAUUUGAAGAAAUGUAUCUGAAGAAGUGCGCAUGCAUACAAAAGCUUAUACAGUGGUACCUCGGGAU